rnacentral:rRNA from 1 species
UACGAAGGGGGCUAGCGUUGCUCGGAAUCACUAGGCGUAAAGCGCACGUAGGCGGCUUUCUAAGUCAGGGGUGAAAUCCUGGAGCUCAACCCCGGAACUGCCUUUGAUACUGGGUAUCUCGAGUCCGAGAGAGGUGAGUGGAAUUCCGAGUGUAGAGGUGAAAUUCGUAGAUAUUCGGAAGAACACCAGUGGCGAAGGCGGCUCACUGGACCGGUAUUGACGCUGAGGUGCGAAAGCGUGGGGAGCAAACAGGG